rnacentral:misc_RNA from 1 species
UACGGAGGGAGCUAGCGUUGUUCGGAAUUACUGGGCGUAAAGCGCACGUAGGCGGCGCAGCAAGUCAGGGGUGAAAUCCCGGGGCUCAACCCCGGAACUGCCUCUGAAACUGCAGCGCUAGAAUCUUGGAGAGGCGAGUGGAAUUCCGAGUGUAGAGGUGAAAUUCGUAGAUAUUCGGAAGAACACCAGUGGGGAAGGCGACUCGCUGGACAAGUAUUGACGCUGAGGUGCGAAAGCGUGGGGAGCAUACAGG